rnacentral:rRNA from 1 species
UUAAGCGACUAAGCGUACACGGUGGAUGCCUUGGCAGUCAGAGGCGAUGAAGGACGUGCUAAUCUGCGAUAAGCGUCGGUAAGGUGAUAUGAACCGUUAUAACCGGCGAUUUCCGAAUGGGGAAACCCAGUGUGAUUCGUCACACUAUCAUUAACUGAAUCCAUAGGUUAAUGAGGCGAACCGGGGGAACUGAAACAUCUAAGUACCCCGAGGAAAAGAAAUCAACCGAGAUUCCCCCAGUAGCGGCGAGCGAACGGGGAGGAGCCCAGAGCCUGAAUCAGUGUGUGUGUUAGUGGAAGCGUCUGGAAAGGCGCGCGAUACAGGGUGACAGCCCCGUACACAAAAAUGCACAUGCUGUGAGCUCGAUGGGUAGGGCGGGACACGUGGUAUCCUGUCUGAAUAUGGGGGGACCAUCCUCCAAGGCUAAAUACUCCUGACUGACCGAUAGUGAACCAGUACCGUGAGGGAAAGGCGAAAAGAACCCCGGCGAGGGGAGUGAAAAAGAACCUGAAACCGUGUACGUACAAGCAGUGGGAGCACAGAGCAAUCUGUGUGACUGCGUACCUUUUGUAUAAUGGGUCAGCGACUUAUAUUCUGUAGCAAGGUUAACCGAAUAGGGGAGCCGAAGGGAAACCGAGUCUUAACUGGGCGUUAAGUUGCAGGGUAUAGACCCGAAACCCGGUGAUCUAGCCAUGGGCAGGUUGAAGGUUGGGUAACACUAACUGGAGGACCGAACCGACUAAUGUUGAAAAAUUAGCGGAUGACUUGUGGCUGGGGGUGAAAGGCCAAUCAAACCGGGAGAUAGCUGGUUCUCCCCGAAAGCUAUUUAGGUAGCGCCUCGUGAAUUCAUCUCCGGGGGUAGAGCACUGUUUCGGCAAGGGGGUCAUCCCGACUUACCAACCCGAUGCAAACUGCGAAUACCGGAGAAUGUUAUCACGGGAGACACACGGCGGGUGCUAACGUCCGUCGUGAAGAGGGAAACAACCCAGACCGCCAGCUAAGGUCCCAAAGUCAUGGUUAAGUGGGAAACGAUGUGGGAAGGCCCAGACAGCCAGGAUGUUGGCUUAGAAGCAGCCAUCAUUUAAAGAAAGCGUAAUAGCUCACUGGUCGAGUCGGCCUGCGCGGAAGAUGUAACGGGGCUAAACCAUGCACCGAAGCUGCGGCAGCGACACUGUGUGUUGUUGGGUAGGGGAGCGUUCUGUAAGCCUGUGAAGGUGUGCUGUGAGGCAUGCUGGAGGUAUCAGAAGUGCGAAUGCUGACAUAAGUAACGAUAAAGCGGGUGAAAAGCCCGCUCGCCGGAAGACCAAGGGUUCCUGUCCAACGUUAAUCGGGGCAGGGUGAGUCGACCCCUAAGGCGAGGCCGAAAGGCGUAGUCGAUGGGAAACAGGUUAAUAUUCCUGUACUUGGUGUUACUGCGAAGGGGGGACGGAGAAGGCUAUGUUGGCCGGGCGACGGUUGUCCCGGUUUAAGCGUGUAGGCUGGUUUUCCAGGCAAAUCCGGAAAAUCAAGGCUGAGGCGUGAUGACGAGGCACUACGGUGCUGAAGCAACAAAUGCCCUGCUUCCAGGAAAAGCCUCUAAGCAUCAGGUAACAUCAAAUCGUACCCCAAACCGACACAGGUGGUCAGGUAGAGAAUACCAAGGCGCUUGAGAGAACUCGGGUGAAGGAACUAGGCAAAAUGGUGCCGUAACUUCGGGAGAAGGCACGCUGAUAUGUAGGUGAAGUCCCUCGCGGAUGGAGCUGAAAUCAGUCGAAGAUACCAGCUGGCUGCAACUGUUUAUUAAAAACACAGCACUGUGCAAACACGAAAGUGGACGUAUACGGUGUGACGCCUGCCCGGUGCCGGAAGGUUAAUUGAUGGGGUCAGCGCAAGCGAAGCUCUUGAUCGAAGCCCCGGUAAACGGCGGCCGUAACUAUAACGGUCCUAAGGUAGCGAAAUUCCUUGUCGGGUAAGUUCCGACCUGCACGAAUGGCGUAAUGAUGGCCAGGCUGUCUCCACCCGAGACUCAGUGAAAUUGAACUCGCUGUGAAGAUGCAGUGUACCCGCGGCAAGACGGAAAGACCCCGUGAACCUUUACUAUAGCUUGACACUGAACAUUGAGCCUUGAUGUGUAGGAUAGGUGGGAGGCUUUGAAGUGUGGACGCCAGUCUGCAUGGAGCCGACCUUGAAAUACCACCCUUUAAUGUUUGAUGUUCUAACGUGGACCCGUGAUCCGGGUUGCGGACAGUGUCUGGUGGGUAGUUUGACUGGGGCGGUCUCCUCCUAAAGAGUAACGGAGGAGCACGAAGGUUGGCUAAUCCUGGUCGGACAUCAGGAGGUUAGUGCAAUGGCAUAAGCCAGCUUGACUGCGAGCGUGACGGUGCGAGCAGGUGCGAAAGCAGGUCAUAGUGAUCCGGUGGUUCUGAAUGGAAGGGCCAUCGCUCAACGGAUAAAAGGUACUCCGGGGAUAACAGGCUGAUACCGCCCAAGAGUUCAUAUCGACGGCGGUGUUUGGCACCUCGAUGUCGGCUCAUCACAUCCUGGGGCUGAAGUAGGUCCCAAGGGUAUGGCUGUUCGCCAUUUAAAGUGGUACGCGAGCUGGGUUUAGAACGUCGUGAGACAGUUCGGUCCCUAUCUGCCGUGGGCGCUGGAGAACUGAGGGGGGCUGCUCCUAGUACGAGAGGACCGGAGUGGACGCAUCACUGGUGUUCGGGUUGUCAUGCCAAUGGCACUGCCCGGUAGCUAAAUGCGGAAGAGAUAAGUGCUGAAAGCAUCUAAGCACGAAACUUGCCCCGAGAUGAGUUCUCCCUGACCCUUUAAGGGUCCUGAAGGAACGUUGAAGACGACGACGUUGAUAGGCCGGGUGUGUAAGCGCAGCGAUGCGUUGAGCUAACCGGUACUAAUGAACCGUGAGGCUUAACCUU